GCUAAAGAGGAAAGCGAAAGCAUCCACUGAACAGACAUACUACUCUCACGGUGAUAUCGAAGAAGAAAAUAGCGUUUUACAUUGAGCAAUCGAGGCUUGCUUCUGACGAGAUGAAUUCCAGAGAGAAGAAGGAAUGCUCCUGUGACUAACAGGAGCAGUUAACAUUUUUACAGCUUAAAGGAGGCUUGGAGAGCGCUCAACUCUGAGCAUUAUUUCACAGAUGAGAAAGUAAAGGUAUGACCCCCUUCCUUGUGACCUCUUCCUCAAGAAGAAGAAGGGGGAGAAGGGCAAGAGGAGGAGAAAGUGGAGAAGGCAAAACAACACCAACAACAACUACAACAACAACUUAAAUUUGUCUUCCCAUAUACUCUCUGGAUCCUGGUCAUACUCUCAGUGGCCAGCUCCUUAAAGAAAACUGAGUCCUUCUCCAUCCACAGCCCUGCCAGAGGUUAUCAACUGUGAAAGGCUACACUUUAGCAUUUUUAUCAUAAUUCAGAGCACUGCUGGUUUUGCCUCCAUGACAGAGGAUGCACCUAAUCCUGGGGAGACUUGAGGGCCCAGGGAAGGCAGAAGUGUCCUCUCAGAAGAAAGGGGGAGGGAGAAUGGGAUGAGGAACUGUUGAGGGGGGGACUGAGAGGGAAGCAACAUCUGGAAUGUAUAUAAAUAAAAUAAAUUUUAAAUAGAGUUCCCUUC
rnacentral:lncRNA from 1 species